rnacentral:rRNA from 1 species
AGGACGAACGCUGGCGGCGUGCUUAACACAUGCAAGUCGAACGAGGCCCAUUCAGUGGUAACACUGAGGAAGGUCUAGUGGCGAACGGGUGAGUAACACGUGAGAAACCUGCCCCGGAGUCCGGAAUAACCCUCCGAAAGGAGAGCUAAUACCGGAUACCCUCAUCGGACCGCAUGAUCUGGUGAGGAAAGGAUUCCGCUUCGGGAGGGUCUCGCGGCCUAUCAGCUUGUUGGUGGGGUAACGGCCUACC